UUGUAGUUCAAUGGAUAGAACAUCGGUUUCCUAAACCGGUAAUCCGGGUUCGAUUCCCGGC
rnacentral:tRNA from 1 species